GACGAACGCUGGCGGCGUGCUUAACACAUGCAAGUCGAACGGACAGGCCCUGCUUUUGUGGGGCGCUCGAGUGGCGAACGGGUGAGUAACACGCGUGUAACCUGCCCUUGACUUUGGGAUAACUUCAGGAAACUGGGGAUAAUACCGGAUAGGAGCUCCUGCUGCAUGGUGGGGGUUGGAAAGUUUCGGCGGUUGGGGAUGGACUCGCGGCUUAUCAGCUUGUUGGUGAGGUAGUGGCUUACCAAGGCUUUGACGGGUAGCCGGCAUGAGAGGGUGACCGGCCACCUUGGGACUGAGAUACGGCCCAGACGCCUACGGGACGCAGCAGUGGGGAAUAUUGCACAAUGGGCGGAAGCCUGAUGCAGCAACGCCGCGUGCGGGAUGACGGCCUUCGGGUUGUAAACCGCUUUCGCCUGUGACGAAGCGUGAGUGACGGUAAUGGGUAAAGAAGCACCGGCUAACUACGUG
rnacentral:rRNA from 1 species